rnacentral:rRNA from 2 species
GCCUAUACAUGCAAGUCGAACGCGUGACCCAAUGAUUGAUGGUGCUUGCACUGAUUGAUUUGGUCGCCAACGAGUGGCGGACGGGUGAGUAACACGUAGGUAACCUGCCCAGAAGCGGGGGACAACAUUUGGAAACAGAUGCUAAUACCGCAUAACAACGUUGUUCGCAUGAACAACGCUUAAAAGAUGGCUUCUCGCUAUCACUUCUGGAUGGACUGCGGUGCAUUAGCUUGUUGGUGGGGUAAUGGCCUACCAAGGGCGAUGAUGCAUAGCCGAGUUGAGAGACUGAUCGGCCACAAUGGGACUGAGACACGGCCCAUACUCCUACGGGAGGCAGCAGUAGGGAAUCUUCCACAAUGGGCGCAAGCCUGAUGGAGCAACACCGCGUGAGUGAAGAAGGGUUUCGGCUCGUAAAGCUCUGUUGUUAAAGAAGAACACGUAUGAGAGUAACUGUUCAUACGUUGACGGUAUUUAACCAGAAAGUCACGGCUAACUACGUGCCAGCAGCCGCGGUAAUACGUAGGUGGCAAGCGUUAUCCGGAUUUAUUGGGCGUAAAGAGAGUGCAGGCGGUUUUCUAAGUCUGAUGUGAAAGCCUUCGGCUUAACCGGAGAAGUGCAUCGGAAACUGGAUAACUUGAGUGCAGAAGAGGGUAGUGGAACUCCAUGUGUAGCGGUGGAAUGCGUAGAUAUAUGGAAGAACACCAGUGGCGAAGGCGGCUACCUGGUCUGCAACUGACGCUGAGACUCGAAAGCAUGGGUAGCGAACAGGAUUAGAUACCCUGGUAGUCCAUGCCGUAAACGAUGAGUGCUAGGUGUUGGAGGGUUUCCGCCCUUCAGUGCCGGAGCUAACGCAUUAAGCACUCCGCCUGGGGAGUACGACCGCAAGGUUGAAACUCAAAGGAAUUGACGGGGGCCCGCACAAGCGGUGGAGCAUGUGGUUUAAUUCGAAGCUACGCGAAGAACCUUACCAGGUCUUGACAUCUUGCGCCAACCCUAGAGAUAGGGCGUUUCCUUCGGGAACGCAAUGACAGGUGGUGCAUGGUCGUCGU